AACUAAAUCUAGCCCAAAAAAUAGUUCAUAAAAUUAUUCUCCACAGACUUAAAACAAAACAUUUAUUAUCAUUAAAGUAUAGGCGAUAGAAAUAAUAUGCCUGGCGCUAUAGAAAAAGUACCGCAAGGGAAAGUUGAAAUAAACAUUAUAAGUAACAAAUAGCAAAGAUUAAUACUUGUACCUUUUGCAUCAUGAUUCAACUAGAAUAUAUUAGCAAAAAGAAUUUAAGUUAAAUGACCCGAAACCAGACGAGCUACCUUAAUGGCAGCCAAUUAGGGCAAACCCGUCUAUGUGGCAAAAUAGUGGGAUGACCAUAAGGUAGGGGUGACAAGCCUACCGAGCCUGGUGAUAGCUGGUUGUCCAGGACAGAAUUUUAGUUCUAAUUUAAAUUUACAUAAAAAAAGCUAAUUCUAAUGUAAAUUUAAAAAAUAGUCUAAAAGGGUACAGCUUUUUAGACAAGGGAUAUAACCCAAACUAGAGAGCAAACAAAUUUAAAUCCACGAUAGUUGGCCUAAAAGCAGCCAUCAAACAAGAAGGCGUUCAAGCCCAACAGAACACCUACAACUUAAUUCCAAUAAUAACAUCAACUCCUAGUAUAAAACUGGACCAUUCUAUUAAUACAUAGAAGAAAUAAUGUUGAUAUGAGUAAUAAGAAAUAUUUCUCCCCGCACAUGUUUAUAUCAAAGAACGAAUGAAUCACUGAUAAUUACCAAAGUAUAUAUCAUCAAAAUUUUAUCUGUACCACUAUUUGUUAGCCCAACACAGGAGUGCAAUAAAGGAAAGAUCAAAAGAAGCAAAAGGAACUCGGCAAAUCUUAACCCCGCCUGUUUACCAAAAACAUCACCUCUAGCAUAAAUAAUAUUAGAGGCACUGCCUGCCCGGUGACUUCAGUUUAACGGCCGCGGUAUCCUGACCGUGCAAAGGUAGCAUAAUCACUUGUUCCCUAAAUAGGGACUUGUAUGAAUGGCCCCACGAGGGUUCUACUGUCUCUUGCUUCCAAUCAAUGAAAUUGACCAUCCCGUGAAGAGGCGGGAAUAAAAAAAUAAGACGAGAAGACCCUAUGGAGCUUUAAUUAAUUAGCCUACAAAUAAUAAAACCACCCCCGAUAGGAAUAUGUUUAUUUUAACUUAGGCUAAAAAUUUAGGUUGGGGUGACCUCGGAAUAAAAACUAACUCCCGAGAAAAUUCAUUAAGACCAACAAGUCAAAAUUAAUCCACUAUACAGUGACCCGCCAUUGGCGAUCAACGAAACAAGUUACCCUAGGGAUAACAGCGCAAUCCUAUUUAAGAGUUCAUAUCGACAAUAAGGGUUUACGACCUCGAUGUUGGAUCAGGACAUCCCAAUGGUGCAGCAGCUAUUAAUGCGUUCGUUUGUUCAACGAUUAAAGUCCUACGUGAUCUGAGUUCAGACCGGAGUAAUCCAGGUCGGUUUCUAUCUAUUUACAGUCUCUCCCAGUACGAAAGGACAAGAGAGACGGGGCCUACUUGCUACCAAGCGCCCCAAUUAAAACAGAUGAUCUAAUCUUAAUCUCAUUGUUCAAGCCACACCCCAGACUAGGGAUU
rnacentral:rRNA from 1 species